rnacentral:misc_RNA from 1 species
GAUGAAGAACGCAGCGAAAUGCGAUAAGUAAUGUGAAUUGCAGAAUUCAGUGAAUCAUCGAAUCUUUGAACGCACAUUGCGCCCGCUAGUAUUCUGGCGGGCAUGUCUGUCCGAGCGUCAUUUCAACCCUCAAGCCCCCGGGCUUGGUGUUGGGGAUCGGCGAGCCUCCGCGCCCGCCGUCCCCUAAAUCUAGUGGCGGUCUCGCUGUAGCUUCCUCUGCGUAGUAGCACACCUCGCACUGGGAAACAGCGCGGCCACGCCGUUAAACCCCCAACUUCUGAACGUUUGACCUCGGAUCAGGUAGGAAUACCCGCUGAACUUAAGCAUAUCAAUAAGCGGAGGA